rnacentral:rRNA from 1 species
GACGAACGCUGGCGGCGUGCUUAACACAUGCAAGUCGAACGGAAAGGCCCUGCUUUUGUGGGGUGCUCGAGUGGCGAACGGGUGAGUAACACGUGAGUAACCUGCCCUUGACUUUGGGAUAACUUCAGGAAACUGGGGCUAAUACCGGAUAGGAGCUCCUGCUGCAUGGUGGGGGUUGGAAAGUUUCGGCGGGUGGGGAUGGACUCGCGGCUUAUCAGCUUGUUGGUGGGGUAGUGGCUUACCAAGGCUUUGACGGGUAGCCGGCCUGAGAGGGUGACCGGCCACAUUGGGACUGCGAUACGGCCCAGCCUCCUACGGGAGGCAGCAGUGGGGAAUAUUGCACAAUGGGCGGAAGCCUGAUGCAGCAACGCCGCGUGCGGGAUGACGGCCUUCGGGUUGUAAACCGCUUUCGCCUGUGACGAAGCGUGAGUGACGGUAAUGGGUAAAGAAGCACCGGCUAACUACGUG